AGGUAUGGAAAGUUAUGAAAGUUUCUCAGUUGAAAUGCCAAGAAGGAGCUAAUCUAAUCCUAAGACAUUAAUCAGGUAUGGAAAGUUAUGAAAGUUUCUCAGUUGAAAUGGAAAGAAGGAGCUAAUCUAAUCCUAAGACAUUAAUCAGGUAUGGAAAGUUAUGAAAGUUUCUCAGUUGAAAUGGAAAGAAGGAGCUAAUCUAAUCCUAAGACAUUAAUCAGGUAUGUAUAUUUUUG